AAUUAUUGCGAUAACGAACGAGACCUCACUCUACUAACUAGUCAUCCGUGCAUAUGUGUGGUUGAAGUAUUAAAUAGAGAACGCCGAUUUAUCGGAAGUUGCUUUUAAUAUGGAAGCUUGUAUGAUGCGGCUGUACUUCUUAGAGAAACCAAUAUUCACAAAAAUAGAGGAAGCGAGGCAAUAACAGGUCUGUGAUGCCCUUAGAUGUUCUGGGCCGCACGCGCGCUACAAUAUAUUGUGUAAAGUGUCGCUACCGCAAGGGGCCGCUUUACAGGAAUGUGAGGCUAACCUCCAUUCCGUCUUUUUAACUGGAAUAGAUGAUUGAAAUUAUUUGUCUUGAACGAGGAAUUUCUAGUAGUCGUAGUUCACUAAACUACGUCGAUUACGUCCCUGCCCUUUGUACACACCGCCCGUCGCUUCUACCGAUUGAAUGCUCCGGUGAAAUCGUCAGAUUUGUUUUGGUCAGUGGGGCAACCCAGCGGCUUUGAUAGAAAAGGCGAGUAAACCAUAGUAUUUAGAGGAAGAAGAAGUCGUAACAAGGUCUCCGUAGGUGAACCUGCGGAGGGAUCAUUAUU
rnacentral:rRNA from 1 species